rnacentral:rRNA from 1 species
UGCAUUAUUUGACGUUACCUACAGAAGAAGCACCGGCUAACUCCGUGCCAGCAGCCGCGGUAAUACGGAGGGUGCGAGCGUUAAUCGGAAUUACUGGGCGUAAAAGCGCAUGCAGGCGGCCUGUUAAGUCAGAUGUGAAAAGCCCGGGCUUAAACCUCGGAAAUUGCAUUUGAAAACUGGCAGGCUAGAGUCUUGUAGAGGGGGUAGAAUUUCAGGUGUAGCGGUGAAAAUGCGUAGAGAUCUGAAGGAAUACCAGUGGCGAAGGCGGCCCCCUGGACAAAGACUGACGCUCAGAUGCGAAAGCGUGGGGAGCAAACAGGAUUAGAUACCCUGGUAG